GCUAUUGGCUACUCAUAAUCAACCAAUUUAGUUCUUCAUUUAUUUAUUCUUCAGUUUCAUAUUCUUUAUGAGAAUCGCUCUAAUAUUGCUUCAUAACUUUCAGGGGCAGUCUUAAAUUUCCAUGGUCUCAUAGGAGAGGAAAUCAUGCCCUUUUACUCCAACAAUGGGAAAGUCUACUUUCACCAGAUGGAAAGCUUUGAGAUGGACUGAAGUUUUUGUAGAAAGUCUGCAGUCUCAGGUUCUCGACGAAGCUGAUCAAAUGCUUGACAUGGGAUUCAAGCAAGAAGUUCACUUCAUAUUGAGCUAGACAUCCUCUAGUAUGUGAUUUGUACAAAAACCGUGAAAGAGUUUUGUAGGUUUUUGUUGUAGAAUGAGAUAUUCAUGGACAUGAAUCCAAAUGAGCAAUGUUGCAAAACAAUCGAUGGGAGGGACACAUUUUCACUAUUUUGUUUCUGUUGCAAUGUAUUUUCCUUUUGUUCUUAGACAUGGAUAUAUGGAAACAACUUUGAGUCUUUCCUCAUCGCCGUUGUCAAUCCCAACAAGCAAGCACUUGACUGUUGGGAUGAGGAGAAUGGGCUAAGUGGGGAUUAUGCCGCUCUCUGUGAGAAUCCCAAGGCAAAAGAAUACAUUCUUGGGGAACUUACAAAGCAUGCCAAAGCAAAGAAGUUAAAAGCUUUCGAAAUCCCGAAAGUCAUCCAUCUUGACCCAGUACCGUUUGACAAGGAGCGAGACCUUCUCACCCAACCAAACCUAUAAGAAAAUGCGGCAACAGUUGCUCAAAUAUUACCUGGUUAGCCCUUCUUCACCCUUUCUGGGAGGUCUCUAUGAGAAA